AUGUCAAGCGCAACCAGGACAAUAUCUCGUGCCACACUUGCUUGGAGAAGGGGCAUUCCAGGAUUAGGUGUUGGAUUGAUUCAGACGCUUGGUCGCAAAGCGGGCAGCGAGGAGGGUGCGGCAGUCCGCGGCGCGCAAGGUGGUCGGCCGUCCAGCAACGUCCCAGGUGGGCAAGCCAGUGGAAGAAUUUCACACGCGGGGGCGCCUAGCCUGAAGCAGCACAAAGGUUGUGGAGAAGCAACUCCACCUUGCUGCUACAAUGUGUACAACACAAGUGUUGAAGGAACAACUUCAACGUGCUGCGCUAGAUAUCGCUCUAGAGGCGAAUGUAGGUUGAUAGGGCAGCAAGAGUUCAAUCCAGAACUCCUAGGGCACAAGAUCUACUCCAAGAUCUUAGAUAAGAACAACAAGUUCUAUUAUAGGUAG
rnacentral:rRNA from 1 species